rnacentral:siRNA from 1 species
GAAAGAAUUCGAGAUUCCUCGC